UACGGAGGGUGCAAGCGUUGCUCGGAAUUAUUGGGCGUAAAGGGCAGGUAGGUGGUCUCGUUUGUCUGGGGUGAAAGCCUUGAGCUUAACUCAAGAAGUGCCUUAGAAACGGCGAGACUAGAGUCUUGGAGAGGGUCGUGGAAUUCCCGGUGUAGCGGUGAAAUGCGUAGAGAUCGGGAGGAACACCAGCGGCGAAGGCGGCGACCUGGACAAGUACUGACACUCAACUGCGAAAGCGUGGGGAGCAAACAGG
rnacentral:rRNA from 1 species